UACGGGGGGAGCAAGCGUUGUUCGGAUUCACUGGGCUUAAAGGGCGCGUAGGCGGCUUGCCAAGUCAGGGGUGAAAUCUUUCGGCUCAACCGGAAAAGUGCUUCUGAUACUGGCAGGCUGGAGGGAGGUAGGGGCAGAUGGAACUUCCGGUGGAGCGGUGAAAUGCGUAGAUAUCGGAAGGAACGCCGGUGGCGAAAGCGGCGUCCUGGACCAACACUGACACUGAUGAGCGAAAGCCAGGGGAGCAAACGGG
rnacentral:rRNA from 1 species